rnacentral:rRNA from 1 species
CCUACGGGUGGCAGCAGUGAGGAAUAUUGGUCAAUGGACGAGAGUCUGAACCAGCCAAGUAGCGUGAAGGAUGACUGCCCUAUUGGUUGUAAACUUCUUUUAUAUGGGAAUAAAAUGUUCCACGUGUGGGAUUUUGUCUGUACCAUAUGAAUAAGGAUCGGCUAACUCCGUGCCAGCAGCCGCGGUAAUACGGAGGAUCCGAGGGUUAUCCGGAUUUAUUGGGUUUAAAGGGAGCGUAGGUGGAUUGUUAAGUCAGUUGUGAAAGUUUGCGGCUCAACCGUAAAAUUGCAGUUGAAACUGGCAGUCUUGAGUACAGUAGAGGUGGGCGGAAUUCGUGGUGUAGCGGUGAAAUGCUUAGAUAUCACGAAGAACUCCGAUUGCGAAGGCAGUUCACUGGACUGCAACUGACACUGAGGCUCGAAAGUGUGGGUAUCAAACAGGAUUAGAUACCCCGGUAGUC